CCUGAAUGUGCCUGAAUGUCCCGUCUCACACUCAGCUUCCAACUGCAACAAAGCUCCAACUCCUGCUGCUCGCAACCCUGCUUUGAGGUGGCCUGGGAUGACUGGCUCCGUCACUUAACCCUUCGGCUGUUUUCAAAAUGCUGAGAUGCAGUGAGCCACCCUUAGUGCUCUGCCCUGAAGGCUUCCGUCGGUCUGCUGAGUCACACUGCAGGCCAAGGGAUGUGUUCCUGCCUUUGGUGGACUGCUCCACCUAUGCUGACUGUUAAAGUCUCCCUCCUUCAGCCAGUCCAGACCAGAGAGCACACCUGAAUCUUCCGGCCUCCCCUCUUCAUGUGUGUCCCUAAGGAGAAGCUUGUGCCCUGUCUCUGAGGCAAGACAUAGCCGACGAUGAACUGACGGUGGUAGUCCCGACCUCCACUUGUAAUCCCUGCCGGCAUCUCCCCAGCUCCCCACCAGCCUCAUUCUGUACAACAUCCUCUGGCCAAGGUUACAGCUCCUUCUCCCUGGAGCCCCUCGGACCAGCA